GGCGCCGUAGCUUAGCCUGGUAGAGCACUCGACUGAUACUCGAGCGGCCGUCGGUUCAAAUCCGAUCGGCGCCA
rnacentral:tRNA from 1 species